rnacentral:tRNA from 1 species
GACCAUGUAGCCUAAUGGAUAUGGCAUUAGACUUCGAAUCUAAAAAUUGCGGGUUCGACUCCCGUCAUGGUUU